rnacentral:lncRNA from 1 species
AUCCGCCUAACUCAACAAAUGAAGCAAAGCAAGUUGGUAUGAAUCAUCAAGGUAGGGCAAGAACCUCUAUCUUCUUCAACUUUCUUAUCUGAGAUUUACUCAGUUUGGGGUUUUGUUUCCCUUUAACCCUUUGAAGUUCCUGUAGACACAAGCAUUUAACCACGACUUCAUACUUUAUAUGAUAAAAGAAAAAAAAUCAAGGGCAAGAUUAAAGCAGUGCUAUCAUUGGCAUCCAAACUACACCACUACCAAGGGUAAGAUAAACCCUUUCAAGCAUUGCCAUCACUGCUACUAUUUAUACCUGAUCCUUCCCUCUCCUUUUCUUGCUUCUUUUUGUAGGCAAGAUUAAAGCAUUGCUGUCACUAGCUUCCAAACUACAUAUGUAUGCAAACAGCAUUCUGUUAAUGUCUAUGCCAAUACUAAGAAAUCAAAAAACACUCGUUUUCUAUAACUUGGCAGAAAAUAAACAGAGCAAAUUAAAC